ensembl:lncRNA novel transcript
UUUUCCGCUUCCGGUGCUCAGUGGCUAGCCGAAUAGCCGUGUUUGGGACCUGGGCUCGGGCUUCUUGCGUCCCCGCUAAGAACAUGUCACGGGGCCGAAUCGUCCGUAUUCUCUCAGCUUCAAGCUCCUCUACUUUUCAACCAGGUCACUAGCCCUUGACUCCUCUUAUCAAACUUCCGGAACUGCCACCCCACCAGUGACUCCACAGGCACCAGGGCAUGCAACAGGGCUGGGACAGGAAGGCUCUCUUCUUCACCUCAAGCCUGCUGGGCUAACACUUGCGAUUUUUACUAGAGUUAACUUUGUAAUGUAUGUCUCUGACUCUAGAAUUUCAAGAGAAGUUCCACUUAGUGACUCCUAAGUGGAAGUUCUAAGAUGGCUUCCCAGUGAGGUGAUGAAGAGGUUUGAGCUUUAGAGUGCGGUUGCAAAGCUCUUCUCUGACCUGAACAAUGGCUGUAGCUGUGGACCAACAAAUCCAGACUCCUUCAGUACAAGAUCUCCAAAUAGUUAAACUGGAAGAAGAUUCCCACUGGGAGCAGGAAAUUUCCCUUCAAGGGAAUUACCCUGGACCAGAGACAUCCUGCCAGAGCUUUUGGCAUUUCCGUUACCAAGAAGCAUCACGACCCCGAGAGGCCCUCCUCCAGCUCCAGAAGCUCUGUUGUCAGUGGCUAAGGCCAGAGAAGUGUACAAAAGAGCAGAUCCUGGAGUUGCUGGUCCUAGAACAGUUCCCGACUGUCCUUCUCCAGGAGAUCCAGAUCUGGGUCAGACAGCAGCAUCCGGAGAGUGGAGAGGAGGCAGUGGCCCUGGUGGAAGACUUGCAGAAAGAACCUGGAAGACAGAGGCUGGAGCCCUGCCUGAUGUGGCUCUGGGAAUUCCUGCAGAGAAGAGCAGGGGUGGCCAGGAGAUAGUGAGCAGCUCCCAGGAGGCAUGGAGGGAUCCAGAACCUGGACUGAAGAACCACCUAGAAAUAACUCAGCAGAAUUCUGAAAAUGAGGUCACGCUGGAUUUUCCAAUCCAUAGGCCCAAAGUGAACUCCCACGUGGAGUAGGAUGAAAACCCACAGCAUCUAGAUCUUCAAAUUCUGGAGAAAAAGAGAGUGUGAAAGACUGCUCAGUGGCUGGGGUGAGAGUCAAGUCUGGCCAGGUGCUAAUCUGGAGAAAAGCCAAGACCUGGAGCGAGCUGGAGUGGCAGGCCCUGGAGGAUGAGAAGGUGGCAGGAGUGCACUGGGGAUACAAAGAAACCAAGAUUUUUCUGGGAAUUCUCAGAGGCCUGGAUCCACGAAAAACUCCGCACCUGCCAUCGAAACCACCAGGUGUACCGGAUUAUGGCUGAGCAGCUGUGAGAACAUGGCUUCCUGUGGACCCUGGAGCAAUGUUGCUAUCGGUUCAAAAACCUCCUGACCGACUACUGCAAAGCCAGGAGCACCUACACACCAGGCACCAGUGUCUUCUAUGAUGAGAUGGAUGCCCUGUUGAGUCUUGGGGCACUUUCUAACACCUUUGAUGCCUUAGAGGUGGUAGGAGGCCUUCUUUGGGAUUGAGAGGAUUCCAAAGGGAACCAGGGCAUAGCACUAGAAGAUGUGGCGGGAUGGUAAUGAAAUAGUGGAGGAGUCUCAAGAGGAAUCCUGGAGGCUUGGUCCCCAGGCCUUGAGGUGGAAUCCCAGUGGCAACUCUCCCCCACAAUGGACCUCAGAGCAGUGGGAGCGACGCAGUCCUGUGGGAAGCAUUCAGGCUCAGAAUCAGGAGAUGUGAUUAUUGUCCUGGCUCUGUUAUGACUAAUUUGGGUCUGGAAUGGCCUCAUCGGGGGAAAAAUUGGUGACAACUUUAAGAAAUACUGUUUAUAUCCCGUCCUCAAAUAUUGCUUGACUCAACCCUCUACUGAACCAGUAGUCCAGGGUGGCUCACAAAGACCACUUUGAGGCUCUUGCUCUGCUCUUUAGCCAAGGAGUCUCCCUUCCUGCCUUCAGUAACAACAUUACAGGAAGAGAGGAGAGAAAGGUAGGAGUUAAAGAUCCAGUCAUUUGUUUCCAUCUAAAGUGCCCUAUAAGCCGGGCAUGGUGGCGCAAGCCUGUAGUCCCAGCUACUCGGGAGGCUGGGGCAGGAGAAUCACUUGAGCCCAGGAGUUGGAGGCCGCAGUGAGCUGUGAUCAUGCCACUGCAUUCCAGCCUGGGCGACAGAGUGAGACCCAGACUCAGCUGAAAAAUAAUAAUAUUAUUAAAAGAAUUUAAAAUAAAGUGUUCCAUAGAUGUGAACCCUGCGUAGAUUAUACACACCAGUCUGCCAUUUAAAAGGUUUGUUGUUCUUGGGCAACCUCUUUAAAUACCCUUAGCCUCCAUUUUCUCAUCUGGACAGUGGACAUUGUGAUGGUUUCUACCUCCCUGGGCUGUUAUGAGGAUCCUGACACAGUAUUAGCACUUGGCAAACGUUAGUUUUCAUUAUCAUCAUCAUUAUAAUUAUUAUGAAAAUAGAUAAGGGCAUUAUCCUGUACCCUCAAAGGAGUAAAAGGGGGAAAAUGAGUCAUUAAACUUUCUCUUCUGGGAACUAGACCUUCUUGAGAGGCACUAUCAUUCUCAUUUCACCUGUCACUUCCAGACAUGGGAGCAGAAAGUGAAUUUCAGAACUCCAUGUCCCCUCCUGCUUUUCUCUGAGCAGGACUUCCAGUUCCCCAGCCAGAUGGGGUCACAAUGCUGCAGAAAAGUGAAGAGCUUUGGAAUGAAGAUCUCCCGGACUUCAAGGAGAUUCAGAAAACGUCCAGUGCAGGUGGGAAAUGAAUGGGAGCUAGCAUUCCACCAACAAAGUCAGCCCUGGGAUUCUAAACUCGGACAAGCCAGCACUGGUUAAGGGCUGAGGGGAACCAGGCACUCAGUGCACCCAGUUUACUAUUCUGUGGUGUGGAAAGCACAGGACUUGAGAAGCAGGUGGCACCCAGGAAAGCCUGUUCCCCUAAGUAAGUUUGAACUUUAGUUACUUGAAAAAAGGUAUAACUGAAUUAUGAGUGUUUAUGAUUUUAUCUUUAUUUUAUUUUUUUUGAGAUGGAGUCUCACCCUGUCACCCAGGCUGGAAUGCAGUGGCACAAUCUCGGUUCACUGCAGCCUCUACCUCUCAGGUUCAAGCAAUUCUCCUGCCUCACCCUCCUGAGUAGUGGGGAUUACAGGUGUGCCACCACCAUGCCCGUCUCUAAUUUUUAUAUUUUUAGUAGAGACGGGGUUUCACCAUGUUGGCCAGGCUGGUCUUGAACUCCUGACCUCAAGUGAUCCACCCACCUUGGCCCCCCACAAAGUGCUGGGAUUACAGGCGUGAGCCACUGUGCCUGGUCUAUCUUUAAAUUCCUAUCUGAAUUUGUUUAGGUUUUUUAAAUAAAAAUCUUUCUUUUUUUUUAGAGACAGGGGUUCACCAUGGUGCCCAGGCUGAUCUCGAACUCCUCCUGGACUCAAGCUAUCCUCCCACCUCAGCCUCCCAAAGUACUGGGAUUACAGACAUGAGCCACAUGCUUGACCUGAAUUUUAACUGCAGUUAAUUAUCACUUAACCAGCGAAUUCACACAGGAGAAAUCCCCUGGCCGGGCGCGGUGGCUCACACCUGUAAUCCCAGCUCUUCGGGAGGCCGAGGUGGGUAGAUCACAAGGUCAAGAGAUCAAGACCAUUCUGGCCAACAUGGUGAAACUCCGUCUGUACCAAAAAUACAAAAAUUACCUGGGCAUGGUGGUACGUGCCUGUAAUCCCAGCUACUUGGCAGGCUGAGGCAGGAGCAUUGCUUGAACCCAUGAGGUGGAGGUUGCAGUGAGCCGAGAUCACGCCACUGCACUCAAGCCUGGGUGACAGAGCAAGACUCCAUCUCUACUACAAAAAAAAAAAAAAAAAAAAUUCAACCACCUUAGGAAGCCUCUCAUUUAUGUAUUUCUAGCAUGUAAUUAGUGUUGCACAUGGGAAGGGCUAAUAGAUGCUGACAGAGUGAACAACUUAUCUAUUUUGUGUGUGUGUGUGUAACAGGGUCUCAUUCUGUUGCCCAGGCUGGAAUACAGUGGCAUGAUCACAGCUCACUGCAAACUUCAACUGCCAGGCUCAGGCAACCCUCCCACCUCAGCCUCUUGAAUAGCUGGGACUGCAGGCUCAUACCACCACAACCAGCUAACUUGUAUUUUUAGUAGAGACAAGGUUUCGCCAUGUUGCUCAGGCUAGUCUCGAACUCCUGGACUCAAGUGAUCCACCUGUCUUGGCUGCCUACAUUGCUGGGAUUACAGGCAUGAGCCACCAUGCCCAGCCAAAUUUUUUUUUUUUUUUAAGGGAAGGGAUCUUGCUAUGUUGCCCAGGCUGGUCUCAAACUCCUCAGCUCAAGCAAUCUGCCCACCUCAGCCUCUGAAAGUGCUGGGAUUACAGGCAUGAGCCACCAUGUCCAGCACACUUUAAUAUUCACUAUGGGCCCUCAAAAGGAAAUGUUUGUGGGGCCACCAAAAGCAAAUGUCUCUUGAACCUAGUCACCUGGGGGGACAAGUGUGGGAAAGUGCACCUGUGUUCCCAUGAGACCCACUCAAGAGGAGCAGAAAUCCUGUUUUGCUAUUUCCUUAAUUGCUACUAGGGCUGGGAUUUUUUCAUGUUUAUUGGCCCCUCUACAUUUUUUUCUUUAAAAAAAUUCACAAAGCAUGUUUAUAUUUGUUAGCUCUUUUGAUUCUCCCUAUGAUAGUGUGAAGACAGGGACAAAACGCUACCAUUUCACACUCCCAGAUCUAACAAUAGCUACCAAGUAAUUAUGCCAUGCGUUUCUUCUAACCUUCGCAAUAUCACUACGAGGUAGUUCUUACUAUCCUCAUUUUACAGAUAAGGAAACUGAGGCUAAGUGACGCUGGCAGACUUGCCCAAGGCCACACAGCUGGUAACAGGGACUGGUAGUCACUUGAGUCCUACAUGAGCACCCUUGCUACUACAGCAGCUCCUCCCCUUUCUAGAGGCCUAGAUGGAAAGAUGCUGGUGUCAGCGGGGGGCACAAAGGUCCACCCAGUCCCACACAUGCAGAGAGGCAUCAUUUGUUGCUGAUAACAAAGUCCUUGGUCUGCAGGGAUGCCAGGUGUGGGUGGUGACCAAAGGAGCAGGGUCCAUCCCAUUUCCAUCUAGGAAGAUGUGACCUCUGUGAGUGAAGAGAGGUUCUACUUGGCUCCGUGUUCCAUCUUGGCUCCGUGUUCCAUCCCAAGAUGUGGCAUCAUAGACCUGGACUGUACCAUCAAAACCUGAGAAUACAGAAAAGAGAGGCUUGACAAUGAGUCCCUAAUUUUAUUUUAAAAUAAUUUUCUUUCUAUUUUUAAUAGAGAUGGGGUUUCACCAUGUUGACCAGGAUGGUCUUGAACUCCUAGCCUCAAGCGAUCCUCCCAUCUCAGCCUCCCAAAAUGCUGGGAUUACAGGCACCCAGCCCCUAAAAUACUUUUUAUAAUUUGUUCUAUGGUACCAAAACAGGCUAUUGGAUGAGGAAUCAAGGCACUUAAAAGGCUAACCACGGGCAAGUAGCAUCUGCCCUCAGUGUUGGCAGCUGAUGACUCCGUGGGGCAUGUAACCAUGAGCAUCCGUUGUGCACCUGUUAUGCGUGAGGCUCGAAGGCUAAUUCUGGACAAGUAUUAGCUCUUUUAAUCCUCAGAACUGUAUGACACAGAUACUGUUAUUUUACCCAGGAAACUGAGGCUUAAGAGACUUCUUCAAACCUUUUCAAGUUGCCCCAGAGUCCAGUCCCCUACCUCUGGGUCCCUUUCAGCAGAUGGCCUUGUCUCCUACUCGAUGGGGGAAACAGAAGCCUUUGGAGAGAAAUACCUUCACGUCCCUGCACGAUCUAGCUGCACACACACUCAUUCCAUCCUGCCAUCUUCCUGGUACUGAAGAGCCAGCCCCUCUACCUGAGCUUGGCUCUUCUGUUCUUUCUGGAUCCUGGCAUUUCCAAUCAUCCUUUCUUGCUCUCUUAAUGAUUUUUUUCAACCCCCACCUGCCUCGACGGAUCCUUCCUGUUGGCUUUUAGAUACCCACAUUAAGUGCCGCAAGCAACUAGCUACCACCAGACCAGAACCAGGGGCCUGCUGACCUAGCUGGCUUGCUACUUUUUUUUUUUUUUUUUUUUUUGAGACAGAGUCUUGCUCUGUCGCCAGUCUGGAGUGCAGUGGCGUCAUCUCAGCUCACUGCAACCUCUGACUCCCGGGUUCAAGCGAUUCCCCUGCCUCAGCCUCCCAAGUAGGUGGGACUACAGGCGUGCACCAAAACACCCGGCUAAUUUUUUUUAUUUUCAUAGAGACGGGGUUUCACCAUGUUGGCCACGAUGGUCUCGAUCUCCUGACCUUGUGAUCCACCCGCCUCGACCUCCCAAAGUGCUGGGAUUAUAGGUGUGAGCCACCGCACCCGGCCAACUUGCUACAUUUCAAAAGGCAAGUAGGCUGAGAAGUACCCUUGAGGUGCUGUCCCUGCUGCUUUUUUUUUUUUUUUCUUUUUUUUUCUUUUUGAGACAGUCUCGCUCUGUUGCCCAGGCUGGAGUGCAGUGGUGCAAUCUCAGCUCACUGCAAGCUCCGCCUCCCAGGUUCACGCCAUUCUUCUGCCUCAGCCUCCUAAGUAGCUGGGACUACAGGCGCCUGCCACCAUGCCUGGCUAAUUUUUUGUAUUUUUAGUAGGGACGGGGUUUCACCGUGUUAGCCACUGUCCCCUUUUCUUUCUGACCCAGCCCGAUGUCUGUCCCAGUGUCUUACUGUCUGCAGGCCCCUCCACCAACCUGAGACCUGAAUUCCUGCUAGGCUAGGAAAGGCCUGCUGCCAAUGUGUGGAAGUUUAGUAGCCAGGGUAGGAAAAGGCCUGCCACUGAAGAACCUGGAGAGUUCGAAUUUCUCUGUGAGCAACUUUAACUCCUGGAGCCAGGUUUAUCAUGGUGCUGGAGGCUCCUUCCUGAGCACCCAACAGUCUCCUGGAAGAAAGAGAUCAGAUAACAAGACGAAAUCCUGCUCGGCAGUACCUGAGAUGGCCAAGCAAUUCUUCAGGCCUGGGGCCCAAGUCACUCGCAGCAGCUCUGGGUCAGGGCUAGGUACGGAUACUGGGCACUGGACUGAGCUCACAGGAUGGCAGAGAUCCCGGGGGUCAAGAAGACAAAGACGCCCAUCUGAGCCAAGGCUGGCAAUGCUGGGCCCAGGGCCCUGGCCCCAGCUCCCAACUUCAGCACACCAUCUCUCUCCACCAGACCCAGGGCCAGGGCUGCGAUUCUCCAACGGUGCCCACUUCUGCCGGGUGUCAACAAGCCCCAGCCGGCCUGAAGCACAGCAGAAGGCAAAGGUGUCUGCAUCUAGGACCUGCAGGCUACUCAGCUCCUCACUGUCACUGACAUCUGGAAGACCGACAGCAAAGGAGACAAGCGGCUGGAGGCAGAUGGGUCUGGCAAUUUGGCAGGGCUGGCUGGUCACAGGUCCCUUCCCACCAGUCCCAGGCAGAAUAAAUCACAUCUCCCUUCCCACUCAUCUCACCAUUGUCUGCUCAGCUGGUUGGGUGCUGGUCCCUGGGACUGCCUAAUCCUGCCCCAGCAUAGGAGCCCUUAGAGGCCAGGGCUUACCUCUUAUUCACUGUGUAUCCCCAACACCUGGCACAGAGAGUUGAACUCAGUUUUUAUAGUGGCUGAGUUGGGCUGGGGGGUGAUGCCGGCUGGAGCAGCAAGCAAGGGACAAAGUACCACGGUACCUGAGGUGUACGUGGUCUUCCGGGACUCCAGAUCAACGACCUGCAGACUUCGGAGCCUCGCCCCAUGGAGGACUCCGGGUGCCAAUGUGGAGAAGACGGCCACCCUAGGCCAGAGACUCUCCUCUUUCUCAUGCACAGCAAUGGUGCUGACAGCUUUAAUGACAUCUAGGGGAAAACGAAGAGGCCAAAAUCCAGAACUUUAAUGAAGGUUUGAAACAUGACAGGCUGCCAGCUGUCUUCCCCUGUACAUUUAGAAGAUCAAGGAAGAAAAGGAGCUGCCGGCUGGCAAGAGAUGAUGUUGAGACAUAACUACUCUGGCUUAUGUUUACAUUUUUGAAACCAUCAGAAACAUUUCAAUUUCUUUAUUAUUUGUCUUAUAAACUGUUUUUUGCAAAUGGAAGACAAUGCCAUCUCAAAACCCAAAAAGCAAUUCUGGCUUUUUAUACUUUUGUGGAGAACAGGUAGAAGACAAGAAAAGGAAUGAACAUGCUGCUGAUGUCACUUACCCCUUCAGCGACAAGAAACAGGUACAGAAUUCAUGAACUGAUAUUAUUUCUUCAAAAACAUGUUCCAUGACCUCGAGUGACUUGCUAAAGCCUAGCAAGUACAGGUCACAUUACAGAUGUCAUUGUCUUGUAAGGUGGACAAGAAAGUCCACAUCUUUUUUACACUGAAUGGAACAUCCUUGGCUUUGAGUCAAGUUUUGUUUUGGUUCUUUUGUUUUUUUGAGACAGAGUCUCACUCUGUUGCCCAGGCUGGAGUCCAGUGGCACAAUCUCAGCUCACUGCAGCCUCCGCCUCUCAGGUUCAAGAAAUUCUUCUGCCUCAGCCUCCUGAGUAGCUGGAAUUACAGAUGUGCACCCUCAUGCCCAGCUAAUUUUUUUGUAUUUUUAGUAGAGACGGGGUUUCGCCAUGUUGCUCGGGCUGGGCUCAAACUCCUGGUCAGGUGACCCACCUACCUUGGCCUCCCAAAGUGCUGGGAUUACAGGCAUGAGCCACUGCGCCCAGCCAAGUUUUAGUUUUUAUUUGGUUGUCUCCACCUGCUUGGUUAGCAGGGAGGUUCUCCUCUCUGUAUUCUACAUCUGAGGCUUCUCUUAAUAUAUGCUUAAUGCUGCCAAAGAGGUGAGCUCACCUGAGCAGCCUAAGCUCUGCUGUUGCCACUGCCCCUGCCUAGGGAGAGUAGUUCUCUGGAUGAACUCAAUUCCAGGAGCAGGUUACAGGAAGCUCCAUUUGGGGCUUGGAUGCCAUGCUAUGGUUGCUAAUUCACCUUGUCUGCAUUAAAGUAGAUUAAUUCCC